UAUCGGAGGGCGGGGCUCGUAGGAGGUCACCUCCCACCCGUGUUUACUGUUACUUUGUUGCCUCGGCGGGCCCACUGGGGCCUGGCCCCGGUCGCCGGGGGGCUUCUGCCCCCGGGCCCGCGCCCGCCGAAUCACCCUAGAACCCUGCCUGAACAGUGAGUCUGAGUGAGAUUUUAAAUCAUUAAAACUUUCAACAACGGAUCUCUUGGUUCCGGCAUCGAUGAAGAACGCAGCGAAAUGCGAUAAGUAAUGUGAAUUGCAGAAUUCCGUGAAUCAUCUAAUCUUUGAACGCACAUUGCGCCCCCUGGCAUUCCGGGGGGCAUGCCUGUCCGAGCGUCAUUUCUGCCCUCCAGCACGGCUGGGUGUUGGGCGCUGUCCCCCCGGGGACACGCCCCGAAAGCAGUGGCGGCGCCGCGUCGGGUCCUCGACCGUAUGGGGAUCUGUCACCCGCUCGGGAGGGACUCGGUCGGGGCCGGUCUUCCCUUUACGCCGCCCUUCGGGGUGCGCCUCUUCCGGUUGACCUCGGAUCAAGUAGGGCUACCCGCUGAACUUAAGCAUAUCAAUAGACGGAGGAA
rnacentral:rRNA from 1 species